CUGUGAGAGAAUUGAAGAUAAAUGAAUCCAUGGUUCACAAGUGGAGGAAGCUGGAAAACAAAUUCCAACAAGUCAAGAUGACGCAGCUGAGUUUCCACCGAAAAAAGGUGACUCGAGCAAUGGAUUAAUGAUGAGAAGAGCUGGAAAAGAGCGUCUCCAGUCCCCAUUCAACUGAGGGUAGUAACGCCUGCAGAGGGGGCUUAACCUUUCGCUUUUGCUGUUAUUUUUCCUUUCGGGCCAGGAUUACGGUGCCGCCGCGAAUUACAAUGAAAUGCUGUGCAUCUUCCGCUCAUACUGCAGUAAAAAGAUCGGGAGAACAGAAGCAUCACGGUAGCGGCAUGAUUGUCACCAGGAGACGGCUUCUGCAGAGCGGAUUUGACCUCCACUCACACUGCAUGUCAGAGCAGUUUCAACACUAGAUGGAGUCGGUCACAGAAAGGUGCUUCUCCACUAAACAAUAUUAAGCAAAGAAGAG